CUCUUUUCUAUAAAAUUGAUCAAAAUUUUAUAACUUUGACUUAAGACAAAAGCUAGAUGUAUACUUAUUUGCGGACAGAGGGAGUAGUAAUUUGUCCAGAGCCGGUCAGGUAAUGAUGUCACAAGCCAAAUAAGCAGAUGGGACAAAGUAAUUUUCUAUUGUCAUCUGAACACAAAUAAGUUAGUGCAAUAAUCAUGCAAAAACCUGAUGGUUGGGGCAACACAUACGAACAAGGCGACCUAUAAUUAGAGAAACAAAGUGGCUUGGUAUAAUGUUACACUUCUCUGUAUGCACCGAAGCAUCAGGUCUUGCCAAAAAGCUUUAAAAUGGUUGGUGUCUCGCAUCUUUCAGUCUUCUUGGAACGUCCCUUGCAUAUACCCAUUGGUCAGAGUUCAUAAAAUCGUUAUAGUGAAUAAUGCUAUAAAACUAUAGAGAUAAAACUGAAAGCAAGAACUGGGCUUAUCACAUCCUUUACUGGCAUGCAUGAUCAUGAAUUUUGGAAUCAGUAACCUAACAAUUAAGUGGAAUACUUAUAAAAAAAGGCAAUGGGUUAAUCUCAAACAAUAUACUUGCAGGAAGCUUGCAGAAUGAACUGCUUGAGCUUAAAGACAUAUUUUACAACUACAAAUUGUAGUUGGCAAAACAUUAAAACAUGGAUAGAUUCUUACCAACAACCCGCUGAAUGAGGCAUGAUGGUCCAAGAGAAAUAAAGCAAUGUUGUUUCCUAGAGGAGAACACACACCGAUUCCCUAUACUCAUGUCAUGUAUGCCUUGCUUGAGUCCAUGUAUAUUUAAUGUGCUCUUUCGCUAGAGAAUAUUAUUAGUUACACUAAGUUUUCUUUUCCGAAAUAGUCACCAAAAAAAUCACUAUCAUAUUUAUAUAUAGCCAUUGUUUUCGGGAAGAACUCAAUUCUGCUUUUUGCCAGUUCUGAAUUUGUUUUCUAGCAUGCAUACUUGUAGUCUAUAACACUGAACACCAUGACCAUUAGCUUUUUAGCUUCUUUUCUCACAACUUACCAGCUAGUGAAAUGACAUGGGUGCAAUGUACGAAUCUAUUACAUAGUCCUAAAACCAGUAAUUGGCUAUCUAUAUGUCCAGCAAAUGUAAUCUGCACAUGAAAGAACCUAAGCAUGGAUUUCAUGAUCUAUAUAACACACUUAUAACUCCAAAUAGCUUAUUAUCUUCAACAAAAUUGGUCUAUUACAAUCAAUUUAGAGCAGAACACAAUCUACUACUGACGUGGAGGAACUAAAUUUUUGGAACGAAAUAAAAAUUUGUAAUGUCAGUAUUAAACUUGUAGUUUAGCUAUGAUCAAAACUACUAAAUUUUGGACCGAAAUCAAAAUUUAAUACACAAUAAUUUGCCUCAAGAUAGUAAAUUGCUACGUAGUUAUAUAAACUGACCAAGAGUAGGCGAUACUGAACAGCUCCGGUGGCGAAGACCUGGUUGCCGACCAUCAUGAUGAAAGGAGAUGCAUGGCGCAUCAACAUGCAUGCCAAUGGCGAAAGGUAACCUGACAUCGAGGAACACCAGCGACACUACAUGACUACUUGGCCUAUUCGAAUCCACGACCACCCACCUCUGUACAAAAAUUGUGUUCCUGAUAAAAAAAUGUUACUUGCACGAAAGCAAGCACACAGUCAAGGAUAUAUGGUAAAAUCAAAUUACCUCUUUGGACAGGAUGUUCAGCCUCAUGAUCUCUUCUAUAUCUACAGCCUCUCUGCAAAAACGGAAAACCAAAUUAGCAAUUUGGGAGGAACACGACCAGGUGAAACGUAUGGUGAUGUUGACUGGAAGUUUGGAGCAGAAAUCAUUAGGAUUGAGGUUUCUCACCUCCUACCGUGCAAUCCCCACCUACACACAUGGAACUAAAACCAAAAUAGCCCAAACAUGGAUCACCAUCGCCAUACAUGGCCUUUGUCAGCCGGAAGAAUCACCCGGGCCAGCCACGGCCGGGGAACCUGCCCGUGCUCAUGAGACACCGUAGUGACCGCAGCCUCUUGAAUUGGAUGGAGAAGAAGAACAGCUCAUACCAUCAAGCCCUCCUCACACCUACAGUCACCCAUCCGCCUCGACGACGAGCUAUCGCCGCUGCCACCCCAGGGAGCAGCGUCGGCCACUCCUAUACAAAGUGCCCCAAGUAGGAAGUCGAGCGCCCGACCUCGCGCCAUCUACAGAGGCCACACCGGCAGCACGAGGAAGAGGCCGGAGAGAUCCCUUUAUCCGGCUUCAUCCUAGCCUACCUACCACUACCAAAACCACAAAACCUAGAUCGUGCAGACCUAAAACAUACCUCUGUGGACAGAUCCGUGUUCCCAUCAGCAAGCCGACACCUAAUCGGCCGCCGGAGGCGAAGGGGAUCGGUGGAAUCGCCGCGCUGUGAAGAAUGACGUAAACCGCUACGGCACAGGUGGGGUAGCUAUGAAUAAAACGUAAAAUUACACUGCUCUGGGUGACAAUUUACGGCGCUAGGAUGGUGGCCUGGUCC
rnacentral:lncRNA from 1 species